rnacentral:rRNA from 1 species
ACAUGGCUACAACAUAGCACUAAUGCAUUGAAUCCCAUUAGAACUCCGUAGUUAAGUGCGCUCAAGCUAGAAUAGUACUGGGAUGGGUGACUGCCCAAGAAUUCCUAGUGUUUUACAUGCC